UACGAAGGGUGCAAGCGUUAAUCGGAAUUACUGGGCGUAAAGCGUGCGUAGAUGGCCUGUUAAGUCGGAUGUGAAAGCCCCGGGCUCAACCUGGGAAUGGCAUCCGAUACUGGUGGGCUAGAGUACUAAAGAGGAUCGCGGAAUUCCCGGUGUAGAGGUGAAAUUCGUAGAUAUCGGGAGGAACACCGGUGGCGAAGGCGGCGAUCUGGGUAGAUACUGACGCUGAGGUGCGAAAGCGUGGGGAGCAAACAGG
rnacentral:rRNA from 1 species